AUGGCACUGAUGAUGAAUUUCACCUGGCCUCUGUUCACCUGAUUGCUUCUUAAAACACUGUGGUUAAAGCUAAGUAGCCACAUAUAUAUGGAAGGCUGUGGAAAAACAAAGGUGGGGAGGGGGGUUCCAUAAAACUGGCUUAAUAACAGAAAUCCACAGCUGUAAAUGGGUAAGUGAAGAGUAACAGCAGUGUCAUUGCCAUCUAUUUGGUCUGAAGAGUAAAUGAGAAGCCACUGAAGAAGGGGCGCUGCCCACAGCUGACCCCUGUGUCCCCGGGGAGCAGGCAGCCUGGCUGGCAGCAGAUGCCGUGUCUGCAGCGUCCUGCUUCCCAGGGCUGGCAUGCUUCGCUGCAGCUGUUCCUCCUGUGCCAGGGAGCCCAAGCUCCAGUGCUAAGGCACGAUCUGCUCUGAAACCCAGCUCCAUCCAGCCUGCAGAAGUAAAUCUGGAUGCGGGAGCUCCCUCAAGGACUGCUCUAUCCAACCCCUCGGUGUUCCAAGCACUGAAUGUCAAGAAUUGUCAUCCUGAUGAAGUCCCAGGCAGGCUGGAAGAUCCCCAUUUCAUUGUUCUUCAUCAUCCUGUCUCCGGGAGGUGAUGAGGUGCAGUUGUCACCUACAAAAUCUCGGGCAGAGCCUCUCUGCUGCGAGAGGUGCAGCUGGGGAAGGCUGCUGGGGAGCUGGGCACAGCAGGGACUGCCCAAAUCCCCGGACACCUGUGGGGCUGUGUCAGCUUUCCUCAUCAUCUGGCACCUGUGGAGUAUUCUUAUCAGCAGUACAGUAUAACAGUUUUGCAGUUUCUUGCUUGAACACCGGUGUCAGACGUCGCCACCUCCUCACUGACCUGCGCUCCUCAGCGGCCAUCCUUCAUGCAGGAGGUGCGACCCCAGGACAGCUGCAAUGUGGACAGGCAACGAGCAGCCAGCGCUGGGAGAUCUCCCCGGUGCAAGGUGUACCUGCAGCAAUCCAUCAACAGAGCGGUAAAGCGGAGGAGCCAUUUAGGUGGACACGACUCCAAAUGCUCAGAAUGAGGCACUUACCGUCAGCCACCCAAUAAUGGAAAGCGACAGAAAUGGCCAAUUAGAAGCCGAAGACGGAUGGCACCAAACUUGUCGACAAACAAGCUCCAGACUAAAGAACUGCACACGGGUCCCAGCGCAGACCAGCAUCGUUUUUCCUGGCAGACAGGUACCUGUGAGGGCACACACCUAAUGUCAUACAGAGCCGACAGUUUAAGUUCCUUACCCACCAUUGGCACACGAGUGGGACAAUCUUUGGCCGUGCUGCAUUAAUGUAACUGCUCCCAGCACCCGGAGCCUUGGCUAGGGCAGCAGUUCUCCCACCCACAUCCCAUGGGAGCAUCUAGGAACGUGAAAUUAUGCCUGCCAUUUCCUAAUGCUGGGGCAUUAAUGCCCAAUGUGCAGCCCCAGUACAUUGCUUACACCAGUGCCAGAAGAAGUGGAGCUGCCCUGCUGCCCGCAGGGUGCCACCGCUGCCCACAGCCUCCCUGUGAGUGCCCCAGCACGUCCCAGUUUGGGGCUGGUCCAAGGGCACUGCUCUGUCCAACCUGCUGCAUGAAGCAAUGUGCUGCAGGAACUGGCUUCUACGGUUAUCUUGCUGCUUCUAUUGAAUGCAUAUUAUUGAAUUUAAUCAGCAAAAUGAAUUUGCUAAUGGACUUGUUAAUAAGCUUGCCAUAUCUAAUGUUGAUCAUUUCUUCUGUUCUUUUUUUUUUUUUGUUUUUCUUGAAUGAGAAAAAGAAAGCUGCUGCUGCUGUUUGGCAGCUUUGCUGUUGUUGUUUUUUUUUUUUUUGCUUUAGGCAAAUAACAGGAAUAAGUUCACUUAUAAUUGCUUUGAUGUAAAGAAAAGUUAAUAGGAAUUUUAACAACAAUAUCAGCUUAAGAGAAUUUGAGCCCGUGACCUUCGCAUUGUAAUGAAGGCAGUUUCUCCACCAGGCAGGCAGUCGUGCAUCAGCACGCACAGGGGCAUUCAGUUCUGGGCACUGGGGGAAGAGUUUUGGAAGAACUCAGAAGGGUUUGCUCUGUCUUGGUUUUAUGUGAUUUUGUGUGUCCAUGGCUGGGCUUGGUUGAAUGCAGCGCCAAAAGUUAUAGCAAACACAUAUUGGGAACAAAUCAACCAUGAGGAUUUCAGACAAAUUACCGUGGUCAAAAUAUUUCCUCCCCUCCUGUCUCCAGGCCUAUAAAGCCUUCAGAAACGGGCCAGUUCCCACCCACCAGCACAAAGUGGGAACUCCAGUGCAGCCGCAGAGGUGGCAGUGGGAAGGCAGCAGGUGAGGCUGGCAAACUUUGGCUGUGUUUGCUCACCUUCAGCUGUCCCGGAGGGCUGUAUGAAGUGCUGUGGGUUUUCUCGUAUGCAGUGGGCAGCUGUCGUUAUUUAUGACUCCCUUUUUUAACAUUAUGAGGCUUCAACCUUACACACCAUAAAGCUCAAAUUAAAAUGUGUCCCUCUGAGCUUUCACAUUGUGCAUGCAAACACCGUAAAGUGGCGUGGAAGAUGAGCAAUGACAGCACACCGCCUUCUGCAUCACACUAAAUGGUAACCCAGAGUGCAUCCUGACAGGUUUUAUCUCCUAUCGUACAUAUAACAUUUCAGAGAGCCUCCUUUAAUGUUCCUUUGCACUAGAUUAGUUUAGAUUAGGAUCUACAGAAAUGUUAAAGGUGGUCGAUAUCUAUAUGCUCCUGCUGCUCCCGACACAACAGAAAAAUACUUCCCGCUGGCUGUGGAAGGAUUUGAGAUAACUCACCUCCAGUGAGACAGGUGACUUCUCAUCUCCACGCCCAUUGCUCCGGUUCUCUCC